rnacentral:rRNA from 1 species
GAUGAACGCUGGCGGCGUGCCUAAUACAUGCAAGUCGAGCGAACGGACGAGAAGCUUGCUUCUCUGAUGUUAGCGGCGGACGGGUGAGUAACACGUGGAUAACCUACCUAUAAGACUGGGAUAACUUCGGGAAACCGGAGCUAAUACCGGAUAAUAUUUUGAACCGCAUGGUUCAAAAGUGAAAGACGGUCUUGCUGUCACUUAUAGAUGGAUCCGCGCUGCAUUAGCUAGUUGGUAAGGUAACGGCUUACCAAGGCAACGAUGCAUAGCCGACCUGAGAGGGUGAUCGGCCACACUGGAACUGAGACACGGUCCAGACUCCUACGGGAGGCAGCAGUAGCGAAUCUUCCGCAAUGGGAGAAAGCCUGACGGAGCAACGCCGCGUGAGUGAUGAAGGUCUUCGGAUCGUAAAACUCUGUUAUUCGGGAAGAACAUAUGUGUAAGUAACUGUGCACAUCUUGACGGUACCUAAUCAGAAAGCCACGGCUAACUACGUG